rnacentral:rRNA from 1 species
AGUGAACGCUGGCGGUAGGCCUAACACAUGCAAGUCGAACGGAAGCACAGUAAGCGUUUGCCCUUACGGGUGGCGAGUGGCGGACGGGUGAGGCAUACAUCGGAUUCUACUUUUUCGUGGGGGAUAACGUAGGGAAACUUACGCUAAUACCGCAUACGUCCUACGGGUGAAAUCAGUGGACCUUCGCACCUUGCGCGAUUGUAUUAGCCGAUGUCGGAUUAGCUAGUUGGCGAGGUAAAGGCCCACCAAGGCGACGAUACGUAGCUGGUCUGAGAGGAUGAUCAGCCACACUGGAACUGAGACACGGUCCAGACUCCUACGGGAGGCAGCAGUGGGGAAUAUUGGACAAUGGGCGAAAGCCUGAUCCAGCCAUACCGCGUGGGUGAAGAAGGCCUUCGGAUUGUAAAGCCCUGUUGUUGGGAAAGAAAAGCAGCAGGUGAAUACCCCGCUGUUCUGACGGUACCCAAAGAAUAAGCACCGGCUAACUUCGUG